CAGUAGCCGCGGUAAAACGGAGGGUGCAAGCGUUAAUCGGAAUUACUGGGCGUAAAGCGCACGCAGGCGGUCUGACAAGUCAGAUGUGAAAUCCCCGGGCUUAACCUGGGAACUGCAUUUGAAACUGUCAGGCUGGAGUCUUGUAGAGGGGGGUAGAAUUCCAGGUGUAGCGGUGAAAUGCGUAGAGAUCUGGAGGAAUACCGGUGGCGAAGGCGGCCCCCUGGACAAAGACUGACGCUCAGGUGCGAAAGCGUGGGGAGCAAACAGGAUUAGAUACCCGCGUAGUCCCUGUCUCUUAUAC
rnacentral:rRNA from 1 species